UAAGUCACGACCCCGAACUCUCUAAGCCAUCCGCCAAGAUUGCACUUAGAGAUUCGGGGUUUGUCUUUU
rnacentral:antisense_RNA from 1 species